GAGAUGAAAGCUUAUGGAGUCUAUUUUAAUAUGGCAAGAUAAUAUGAUCGAGUCUAGAAUGUGAUUAUAUGUCAUGUAAUAUGCAAUAUGUGUCAAUAUGUAACUUGUCUGCUAUGAAUUGAUGAUUACGUGAUAUACGUGGCUAUUCCUAAUAUUAUACAUAUAUGAUAAAUGACUUAUAUGACAUAGUGUCGUGAAUUGAUUAAUAUUGGAUAAGAAUAUAUAGAUAGUGAUUGAAUUGUGUUGGUUGAUGGUUGAUUGAGAUAGGAUAACAGGUGGAUAGUCUUAUACAUAGACGAGACGAUGUCGGAUUUUCGAUAAGGAUUUAUAUGAUAGUUGAUUGGUGAUAUGUUAUGUGGAAUAUGAUUGACUAUAUGUUAGAGUCAAAGCAUGAUUAUGUGAUAAGUGAUAUCUAAUAGGUUUAAAGGGUUAUAUAAGUGGGUAUCGAUAUACGUAAUGUGUAUGUACAAUAGAUUGUUUAGUGAUUAUAGUAUUGUCUUAUUCUCGUUAAGGAUUUGGACGAGGUGUAUACGAUCGAAGACGUUCAGAAGGUCAAACGAUGUUACAAAGCGAAUAAGGAACGAAUCGAGUAAACGAAGCAGUGUGGCGAAUAGAGUAUAGCCAAAGAUGGUCUAGAGACUAUGAUAUGCAUAGAGUGUGAAAGUGGAAAGAUGAGAUUGAGAUAUGAGACUGGAAUCGGAUUUAAGAAAAGCUUAGAGAUGAAUUGCUUGAUUGAGGUUGCGAGUAUGGCUAAGGCUAAGCGAGGAGUCAGAGUUAUAGAAUAUCCAGAGGACAAGUGGAAUGUCCAUGGAGAUUGUCAAGGUUGGUUCUAGAUAGAAUUGUAUUGAUGAGAUUCAGUUGUAAGUCAUAAUUGAGGUAGACUGGCAGUGAUUCUUCUUAUCGAAGAUGAUCUGAGUUUGUAAGAUAAUGUUUAUUAAUAGUGGUUGAUUCUAAUUUCAAUACUGUAACCUGGAUGCGAUCCUGUUUUUAGGGGGUUAAAGUGUUUUCUUUUAAAUCUUUUACUAAAGUUUUCAGGUUUUAAA